rnacentral:lncRNA from 1 species
UUGCGAUUUGUUUUCCUUUUUUUUUUUUCCUGUUUCAAAGUUUUUGUCUGAGAGUCCAGAACUUAAAGAUGACUCCAUUUUGCAAGAAAACCAUGUAGAGGUACUCUAGCCACUGUGUAAAGAACAUUGUUCUUCGUAGAUGGAAAGGAAGAUAACCAGAGCUCCUCUCUAAGGCCAACGCUGCUGUGAGUGCUGGCUGCUGAAGGCUGUCAGUCCCAGGUUCCCCUCCAGGAGUUGUCAUCAGCUACAGGGAGCUGCUUUU